rnacentral:rRNA from 1 species
UACAGGGGGGGCAAGCGUUGUUCGGAAUUACUGGGCGUAAAGGGCUCGUAGGGGGCCAACUAAGUCAGACGUGAAAUCCCUCGGCUUAACCGGGGAACUGCGUCUGAUACUGGAUGGCUUGAGUUUGGGAGAGGGACGCGGAAUUCCAGGUGUAGCGGUGAAAUGCGUAGAUAUCUGGAGGAACACCGGUGGCGAAGGCGGCGUCCUGGACCAACACUGACACUGAGGAGCGAAAGCCAGGGGAGCAAACGGG